CUGUAAAUCGACUGAAGAACAUAUUAACCCGAACAUGGUUAGAAUGAUCAGCCAAGCAACUAACCUCUACCACCAUAGUUUGUUUGGAUCUUCCUAACUGUCAAUGCGGGAAUUAACUCGUUUCCUGCACAACUACAAGACUCAAGCAAACACAGACUCGGUACACCCUAAAUUUCUCCUUACAGUACAUUAUAUUUAGAAAAGAAAAAAAAUCAAAUUUUCAAAAUUAAUUUUAUUCUAAAUCACAUGACCAAUGGCAUGGAUGCAUGUUUUAUGGAGUAUCCUUGUUUGUUUGUUUUGUUUUUUUUUUUUUUUUGAAAUCUUUAAUUGUUUGAUCAUGUGGAGCUUGUAAGUGUGUGACAGUUUUGUUUUCUUCCCCACUUCUCUAGUUUUUGUUGAAUAAUGUACAUCCAAGGCUGCUUCUGCUUCUUCUUUUAUGAAGCUCUAUUUGAAAGUGUGUAACCGUGUUGUGUCACUUCACAUUGUGGAGAAAUAUGUAAAAUUUUCACCUUUACAUUCUAGUAUCAUGUAUUAAAUAUUAAUGUUACAAACUUAUGUCACUCGACGAGAAGUUAUUGAAUCCUUGACGAAAUGGAGUUUUUGAAUGAUAAAUGUACAAGAAAUUUUACAA